UACGAAGGGGGCUAGCGUUGCUCGGAAUCACUGGGCGUAAAGCGCACGUAGGCGGCUUUCUAAGUCAGGGGUGAAAUCCUGGAGCUCAACUCCAGAACUGCCUUUGAUACUGGAGAGCUUGAGUCCGGAAGAGGUGAGUGGAACUCCGAGUGUAGAGGUGAAAUUCGUAGAUAUUCGGAAGAACACCAGUGGCGAAGGCGGCUCACUGGUCCGGUUCUGACGCUGAGGCGCGAAAGCGUGGGGAGCAAACAGG
rnacentral:rRNA from 1 species